ensembl:lncRNA
AUUCGUCAAAAUCCUGGUCACUUUCCGAUGAGAUUGAAAUGUUCAGAACAGCAGUUCUUUAAAGCUUUCUUAGUGGAUAGUCUACUGGUUGUUCCAGGAAAACAAAAUAAAAAGUACAUCUAUUAGCAAUAUAUCUAAUACUUCAGUUCAUUUAACAACUUGUAUUUCAAAAUUCCUUACAGCACAUUUUCAUGGGUUUAGUACAGACCAAACGCUGUUUCAACUGCUAACCAGGGGGCCAGAAUCAACUGGUUUUAAGGUCAUGUGCCUAUCCCCAUUCUGUAUGUGCUGAACACCCCCACAGGAACAGUCACCCUAAUCUAGCAGGGUCCACACCAUGAAGAGCUUUGUCAAAGUGAAUUCAUGUUUUCAUACUUUUGUACAUGUUCUGUUUUAUCAGUAGGUACAAUAAUCAAGUUGUACCACAAAAAUAUUUCCCUGUACCUUUCCCUCUUGUCUUGAUUUUCUCCAAAGUAACAAAAUUGAAUUGCAGUUAUGCAUAUUUGGUUCAGUCCUAUCAAGUUAAUUAGGAGUCUAUGACUUGAAGGGUUGGAGGUGGGCAAAUCGUUCAGGUAGUUAGUUAGAAUGAUCUUUUUAGCUGCAUUUCAAUGUAGCAAAGCCAGUACAUCUCUAGUGGUGGAAGCAGUACCAAAAAAAACAAGUUCAUUCUUCCUCUGCUGUUCAAACACUCCCUUUCACUUCAGUGCCGCCACUGAUUUUUCCCUCAAUUAAAUAAAACAAACAAAAAAGAAAAAACAUUAAAAAAGAAACACACACACACACACACACACACACACACAACAGUACAAUGAGGCCAUUGCAUGGGGCAUGGAGUGAGAAAAAUAAAUCAUGGCACAUUUAAAGAUUCAAAUUUCUGGAGGAAAACAAAAUAUGCCAAAACAUCACCACUGGAAUCAGCUUUAUUGACACCUUUUUUUACAACGUUGCAAAACAGCAUUUUUUAUGAUUUGUUGAGCCUUUUUCCUUCUUUCCCCAUUGGUGGUAUCCAGGGGCUAAAGGUGAGGCGCAUAUCUAGAGGACUGAACGUUUCAAUCCAGAUCCCGCCAAUAUAGCAUCUUCAACCUGCAACCUUAAAUACCUGACAGUAAUGCACCCAGUUUGUACUUGCCAUGUCACAUGGGACAUCUGCAAUGUAAAGCAGGUCUUUAUUCUCUGAGGUGUUGAUUGCUGGUUCUCUGAACGUACCUUAAACUGUUCAGUUGAUUAUUAUUAACACAGAUAAUAGUACCUUAUCUCUGGACAUUGCGCUAGCCUUGUGACUGGGCUUUCAUAGCUUUCAUAGCUCCUCUGGCUUCCAUUUGAGCUGCUUUUUCAACAGUUCCAGACUAGACCCUUCCUUCCUUCCUUCCUUCUUUCCCUUUGGCUCUCCUCCUCUCCUUCUGUCCCUCCCUCUGACUGUGUCCUGCAUUCUUGGCAACGCCAAGGAGAGUUUGUGUGUGCAUAUAUGUGGGAAGCCCAGGCUGAGGAGUGGGCCUUGAGUAGGGAGGAGUAGGGUGGGGUGGGGUGGGGGCAGCAUCUCACUGCUGGAAUGCACAGCACGUCACACCUGGGGCUAGGCACAGGGUUACUGGAACUCCAGUGCGUCACCACCUACCACUUACCUCUCUCUCUCUCUCUCUC